rnacentral:lncRNA from 1 species
CCUGCACCCACUCCCUGAGCCAUCCGGCGUAUAUCGGUCACCCAGCAGGGUGUCAGGCAGUGUUGUAGGUGCUGGAGAUACGGCAGAGAACAAAACAAAGUCCCUGUUCCCGUGGAGUUUACGUUCUAGGAGCGGGUAUAUGUCAGCCAACAGCCGGUAGCCAAAACACAGAAAUUCUGUCUGAUGGUGACUGGAGCUUCAAGCAUAAAUAAAGCAGAGUAAGGAAAAUAAGGGUAAGGGAGGUGCUAUUUCAUGUAGAGUGUGGUUAGGGAGACCACUUGAAGGAAGGAAGGACAGGCCUGGGAGAUGCCUGCAGGAAGAGCAGCAAGUGGAAGGGUCCAGAUGAAGGAAUGAAUGUUCAAGAGCAAGAAGAUCAGUCUGGCUGGAGUCAAGUGAGAGGGAGACCAGAUCACGUGCCAGAUCUUUAGUGGAAAGAACAUGAACUCCACAGGGUCAGG